GCCUGCCCAGUGAAACUAACUAAACGGCCGCAGAAUAUUAACUGUGCUAAGGUAGCAUAAUCAUUUGUCUCCUAAUUAGAGACUAGUAUGAACGGCUAAACGAAAUUUUACUGUCUCUUUUAUACCAAAUAAAAUUUAAUCUUAAAGUCAAAAAGCUUUAAUAUAAUAAAAAGACAAAAAGACCCCAUAGAGUUUAAUUUUAAUAUACUAUAAAAAUAUAGAUAAAAAAUUUAGUUGGGGCAACUAAGAAAAAACAAAUUUUUCUAUAUAAAAAAAAUAUAACUUAUCAUUAAAUUAAUAACACAAAACAAAUUACCUUGGGGAUAACAGCAUAAAUUUCUUUGAGAGUCCAAAUCGAAAAGAAAAAUUAUGACCUCGAUGUUGGAUUAA
rnacentral:rRNA from 1 species